GACGAACGCUGGCGGCGUGCUUAACACAUGCAAGUCGAACGGAAAGGCCCUGCUUUUGUGGGGUGCUCGAGUGGCGAACGGGUGAGUAACACGUGAGUAACCUGCCCUUGACUUUGGGGUAACUUCAGGAAACUGAGGCUAAUACCGUAUAGGAGCUCCUGCUGCGUGGAGGGGGUUGGAAAGUUUCGGCGGUCGGGGAUGGACUCGCGGCUUACCAGCUAGUUGGUGGGGUAGUGGCUUACCAAGGCUUUGACGGGUAGCCGGCCUGGGAGGGUGACCGGCCACAUUAGGACUGAGAUACGGCCCAGACUCCUACGGGAGGCAGCAGUGGGGAGUAUUGCACAGUGGGAGGGAGCCUGAUGAAGCAACGCCGCGUGCGGGAUGACGGCCUUCGGGUAGUAAACCGCUUUCGCCUGUGACGAAGCGUGAGUGACGGUAAUGGGUAAAGAAGCACCGGCUAACUACGUG
rnacentral:rRNA from 1 species